GAAAAUAGAGGGAAGAAACUUUUCCUUCUCUCUGUAAGUAGAGAGUGAUAUCUUUGAACCUUUACGCGAGACAAACGAAUUACUGUGAGAGUACAGAACUCCAUUCUGUGCCAAUUGCUGCAAAGACCCAUCGCUUACUGUACGAAGGCCCAAUGACCACCCAGUCAUUGUUCCUCAAACCACAAAAUAACAGCAACAAUCAUCUCUUUCUUCCUUCUAAAAACCCUUUCAUUCACUAU
rnacentral:misc_RNA from 1 species